AGCCACUCAAUCAAGUAAUGACUCAAUGUACUAAUUGAUUGGGUUCACAUAUCAACUAUCAUCUCUACAGAUAAAUCCAAGCUCUUGAUUGAUGUCAACAAAGACCAGGAACCAUUUUGGUUCAACAGGAUUUCCUUUUUCGUUGAUGACUUCCUUUAUGAAAGAAGCUAUUCAGUUGUUUUCAGGAUUAUUCUUCUGAAAUUUCAGCCAUCUUGCACAUGGCACCAGUAUAAACUACAAGACUUCAAUGAGUCAGAAAAAGCCUUUUGCUGCAGGGUUUAAUGCAACUUUGAAAUCACAGGUAUCUGCGAUUGAUGAAAUCCAUGGGAACCCAUUUCAACUACGAUGCUGCCUUCGCUAAUGUGUUGAAAGAUUCAAACUGACAUUUUCAUUGUGAAGACUGAGAAUGAGUCCAUUCCAGUGAUUCCUUUGGGAAAGGCUGGAUUGUGACAGAAAAUGCUCUGCCUUCAACCAUUGUACCUCUUUUUUACCAGGUGCAAUUGAUAAAAUAUUUAAGCAUGUAAAA
rnacentral:lncRNA from 1 species